AUUGAACGCUGGCGGCAUGCUUUACACAUGCGAGUCGAACGGCAGCGCGGGCUUCGGCCUGGCGGCGAGUGGCGAACGGGUGAGUAAUGCAUCGGAACGUGCCCAGUAGUGGGGGAUAGCCCGGCGAAAGUCGGAUUAAUACCGCAUACGACCUGAGGGUGAAAGCGGGGGACCGAAAGGCCUCGCGCUAUUGGAGCGGCCGAUGUCGGAUUAGCUAGUUGGUGGGGUAAAGGCUUACCAAGGCGACGAUCCGUAGCUGGUCUGAGAGGACGACCAGCCACACUGGGACUGAGACACGGCCCAGACUCCUACGGGAGGCAGCAGUGGGGAAUUUUGGACAAUGGGGGCAACCCUGAUCCAGCCAUGCCGCGUGCGGGAAGAAGGCCUUCGGGUUGUAAACCGCUUUUGUUCGGGAAGAAAUCCUCUGGGCUAAUACCCCGGGGGGAUGACGGUACCGGAAGAAUAAGCACCGGCUAACUACGUG
rnacentral:rRNA from 1 species